rfam:Vitis vinifera, whole genome shotgun sequence of line PN40024, unoriented chromosome 17, chr17
AUGCCUGUGAUGAAAUCAGUUAUCAAAACACCAUCUUUCGGGACUGAAUGGCUCUUCAAAAGCCUUGCUGAUAUUCUGCAAUUCUGAGGCUA